GAUGAACGCUGGCGGCGUGCCUAAUACAUGCAAGUCGAGCGAACAGACGAGGAGCUUGCUCCUCUGACGUUAGCGGCGGACGGGUGAGUAACACGUGGAUAACCUACCUAUAAGACUGGGAUAACUUCGGGAAACCGGAGCUAAUACCGGAUAAUAUAUUGAACCGCAUGGUUCAAUAGUGAAAGACGGUUUUGCUGUCACUUAUAGAUGGAUCCGCGCCGCAUUAGCUAGUUGGUAAGGUAACGGCUUACCAAGGCAACGAUGCGUAGCCGACCUGAGAGGGUGAUCGGCCACACUGGAACUGAGACACGGUCCAGACUCCUACGGGAGGCAGCAGUAGGGAAUCUUCCGCAAUGGGCGAAAGCCUGACGGAGCAACGGCGCGUGAGUGAUGAAGGUCUUCGGAUCGUAAAACUCUGUUAUUAGGGAAGAACAAAUGUGUAAGUAACUAUGCACGUCUUGACGGUACCUAAUCAGAAAGCCACGGCUAACUUCGUG
rnacentral:rRNA from 1 species